GGUGGCUUAGUGGUAGAGUACCUUGUUUGAAUCCAGAAGGUCUCAGAUUCAAUCCCUGGCAUCCCCA